CUGCGAACUGUGUUUCAAUCUCAGAAUGUGGUGGUUGGUUCUACUGGAGCUCAUAGAGCAAGUCCUGAACAGUCACCGACAGCUCCUGAAAGGUGGGUCUCUCGUCCGCCUUCUGCCAGUCAAUUCAAGAGGAGGGACAAGACAUGAAGGGAAGCCUCCCUAAGGUGUAGACCUCCCACAUUAAGACCCCUAUGGAGAGCAAGUAGAGCAGGACCUCAGGAGGAGACCAGCGCACUGGGAACUUGGAGCCUGCAGAGCUGGUGUACUCAUCAUCCAGGACAUACCUGACAUGACAGGGAGAGUUGUCAACUUGUCAAGAAAGUAGCAAGAAUUACAUAAUAUUGCUGUAAGAAUCAACUGUAGAUUUGAUUUAUUUGUCAGGUAUUUCUGCAGUGUGUGCUUAUUUGUAAAAGCUGCCAGAUUCAAGUACAACAAUCACAGUCGUUUACCUCGACAGUCCAAAGUCAGUGACUUUAAUGGUCCCAUUGGUAUCUACCAAGCAGUUUCUUGCAGCCUGAGAAAUAGAACAGAGUAUGUGUUAUUUGGGCCCAGUAUUGUUUAGUAUAGGAUAUUAGUAGUAUCAUGUCAGGAUCAGACUUGCUGUGUCUUUCAAAUAUGUGAACUGCGCUUGAUUUAGUUUGAACAAUCAGUGUAAUAGUCCCAAAAGGGAGACAGUGGAAUAGUCCCAAAAGGGGAAAUGGCAAAACCCAAGCUAUUUGACUUAUAAGUAUGUGAUGGAAAUGUUUAUCAUGUGAAGAGACAGCCUUGAAAAUGUUAAUAUUGUCUUAGUGUCGUAAAUAAUCCUUGGUUCCUGCCUGUGCUUGGUAAAGAUAUGAGUGGAGGGGCGACAUGACCUCCUCCUUAGGACCAUCUGGCAGAACGCCCAGAAUAUGUUCUAUAAGUUAAGAUGGGUGACGGUGCCAGACACAUGCCGGAACCAAUCCUAUGAACGAAACCUAUGCAAUGUGUCUGGAACCAGUAUAUAAGGAUCUAACAGGACUGCCCCAGGUAGAGCUCCUGAGCGACAUGUGUACUUGGUGCAUUGAGUUGGUUGGAACCUCUCCAGCGCGCUGAUAAUAAAUAAUGUAUCAUUUAAGAUUGACUUUGAGUGUCCCUCUGUAGA